rnacentral:lncRNA from 1 species
AGAAGAGUCAACUGUGGAGGGGGCACCUGUGAAUGAAUCCUGCGGAGCUGCUAACAGAGCAGACUUACACACACAACAUGACUUUCCUGGGCCUGACUCCCGGACCUGUCCCCAGCGCCUC